CCCUUAGAUGUUCUGGGCCGCACGCGCGCUACACUGAUGCAUUCAACGAGCCUAUCCUUGACCGACAGGUCCGGGUAAUCUUUGAAUCUGCAUCGUGACGGGGAUAGAUUAUUGCAAUUAUUAAUCUUCAACGAGGAAUGCCUAGUAGGCGCAAGUCAUCAGCUUGCGUCGAUUACGUCCCUGCCCUUUGUACACACCGCCCGUCGCUCCUACCGAUUGAGUGGUCCGGUGAGGCUUUGGGAUCUGUGCGGAAAGAGCGUUUCGCUGUUUCUGCUCGGAAAACUCAGUCGAACCUUAUCAUUUAGAGGAAGGAGAAGUCGUAACA
rnacentral:rRNA from 1 species